rnacentral:lncRNA from 1 species
GUGAACCAGCUGGUUAAUUCCGACUACAACAAGAUUUAUCCAGGGACUGCAGAAAUCCAAGACCCUAAGAACUUUGAAGCCGCAUGCAACUAAUGUGGGCACCGUUACAUUACCACAUAAAAGAGAGCGCACAUGUGGGCCGAAAGGUAGUGAGGCAGUAGGAUUCUCCCCAUUGAAGAUACUCAAACAAUGGUGUUUCUGAUACAUCGCCACUUCAUUGAAGUAUGGUAGUGGAUGAGGUUCAUCAACAUUACUGGUAUAAACAUAAUCACGCGUGAUACGAUCAUCAGAUAUAGUCACCAUUAUUAUUACACUAAAAAAAUGUACGAAUAGAGAAGAAAAAAUAAGAGAAAUAGGGAACUUACAUAUUGACAACCUUCAAAAAGUUUUUUUCUUCAGCUAUUCUCAAGCACAUUUCACGCAAUAGAUCAUGAAUCUUGCAAGUUUUGAUUGAACCAUCAAAUUUUUUUCCAGCAACAAGUACCAGGCUCCGAUCAAUGAGUUUCAUCACACAUUCUAGUGCCACAUCCUCUAAACUCUUCUGCUCUUCCUUCUUUAUAUAACCUUCAGCAACCCAUAAUGAUAUCAACUUUUGUAUGUGGAUUUCCUCGUCCUCUUUGAAUGCUCCAAAGUAAAGAAAGCAUGGUUUCAAGUGCAUUGGCAAUUGAUUAUAGCUAAGUUCUAGUAUCUGGGUGUAGUUGUUUGAAUUUUUGGAUAAAUGUGAACUUAAAUUUCUUGCAACUUCUUGCCACAAGUGUUCUUUAUUCUCCAUAUUUGCAAGAACUCCAGCUAUCACGACCACGGCAAGUGGUAGGCCAUGACAUUUUUUUGCAAUCUUCUUCCCAACGUCUAGCAGUUCUUGAGGACAACUUUUACCUCUGAACACUUUCUUUUGUAACAAAUCCCAGCAUUCAUCUUCCGAUAGAAAAGGAAGUGCAUUUAUGACACAAUGAGGUGACACUUUCAAACUUACUUCUUUAUUCCGAGUGGUGAAUAAGAUUCUGCUUCCAGUUGCGUCAUCUGGAAAAAUUCUUUUCAGAUCAUCCCAUAAUUUUAUAUCCCAUAUAUCAUCCAGAACAAUGAGAUAUCGCCUUCCUUUUAAACUUUUGUAAACAGCUUCAGCCAAACUUUCUUCGUCCUCGAUUGCAAUUUGUUCUUGCUUAACAUUUCUUAUACAGCUCAAAAUGUUAAUCAAAAUAUUUUUCUUAUUAUAUGUUUGAGAAACAACACACAAGGCUCGCUCGUAAAAAUGAUAGACUACUGAUGGAUCAUUAUAUAGUUUAUUUGCUAAAGUUGUCUUACCAAUUCCAGGCAUUCCAAAUAUGGAGAUAAUUUGUAAUUGCUCUGUUCCUCUUACAAGUUGUUCCGUAAUUUCGAGUGCAACAACUUUAAACCCCACAAUAACAUCCAAAAUGGGAGUUUCUUCAGAUUGAGAGGAUAAGUGUUCAUCCGGAUAUUGUGCAACUUCUAGCAUUCCAACCACAUCAAUAUCGUUCUUCAUUUCUUUGAUGGCCAUUGUAAUAAGCUGAAUCUUCUCGAUGAGCAGAGGAAUUCUGAGGGCGAGAUACCAAACAGGGGGAAAUGAGUUGAUAAUAUAUUCAACUUCAAAUGCUAUGUCUCUGGUUUUUAUUAUGAGUUCUUCCUGCUCUGCUUCUUGCUGCACAGCUAUACUGGUGAUGGAAGAUCCCAAUAAAAAUAGCUCCUCAUGUAGCAUUACAAUUUGAUCGUUCAGACCAACAAUCCUGUCAGACUUGUUAUUUAUUAGGUCCAUGAGAUCAUCAAGAACGGAAUCAACGAUGAAGAGUGAAACCACACCAGUCUUUGGAGCCAUAUCAAUUGGCAUCUUUGAGACUGUGAUGCAGUGCUCCUUGAUCUUUGAUUUCAAGAGCUCGAACUUUGGUAACAAAUCAGAAAGAGCUAGAUCCACUAUUCCACUCUCCGGGACUCGAUCAUUCUUGGUGAAAACUAUGAAACUUCCUAUCUCAUGGACCAUAGCUUUGAUAUCCGCCAUUGCUUUCUCGGUUUCUUCUACCUCAGUAGUGGUCUGCAAUGGCAUGUCCUCAAGAACGUCGAAAAUGCCAGAGUGCAAGAAACUUACUACGUCGUUGACCACAUUACAAUUUGAUCGUUCAGACCAACAAUCCUGUCAGACUUGUUAUUUAUUAGGUCCAUGAGAUCAUCAAGAACGGAAUCAACGAUGAAGAGUGAAACCACACCAGUCUUUGGAGCCAUAUCAAUUGGCAUCUUUGAGACUGUGAUGCAGUGCUCCUUGAUCUUUGAUUUCAAGAGCUCGAACUUUGGUAACAAAUCAGAAAGAGCUAGAUCCACUAUUCCACUCUCCGGGACUCGAUCAUUCUUGGUGAAAACUAUGAAACUUCCUAUCUCAUGGACCAUAGCUUUGAUAUCCGCCAUUGCUUUCUCGGUUUCUUCUACCUCAGUAGUGGUCUGCAAUGGCAUGUCCUCAAGAACGUCGAAAAUGCCAGAGUGCAAGAAACUUACUACGUCGUUGACCACAUCUUCAAAAUCCGUUGAAUGAAGCCUCGAAUAAGUAAAAGGGGUUUCUUCCUUCCGAGUGGCAAAGAAUACUUCAAAGGCGAAAUACAAGGAAUAAAAGAAACUUCCAACCUCAUUGACCGCAGCUUCGAUAUCUAUCACUACAUUAUUUGUGGGCUGCAAAUGCAUCGAUGUAUCUCCAAGAAAAGUAAUAAGAAAUCCCAGCUCUGUCCGGAGAUUAUGGAAAGCAAUGUAUUCGGCCUUAAAACAAAGGAUGGAUUCUACCAUUCGGAGUAGAAAGUUGAUAAAGGCUGCAACAACUUCAUUAGGACAUGACGAGCUUUGCUGGUUUGGGACAGUGAAGAGUUCUUCAAGCUUUUUCCCACGUGACAAUAGUUGUUGGAGACUGUGUCUAAUUUUUUCAACAUCUUUUGAGUUUCCGAUCGGCUCCGGAAAAUCAACCCUAUCGGUUGAUGGGAGCCCAAGUUGGCAGGACAAAAUUGACUCAUACUCAAGCACGAUUAUAUGGAAACCUAUUGGCCCAGUAAACAAUUUAUCUUCGUCUGGUAAAUAGUACCCCUCUUCCGUGCCCAGGCAGUCUGUACCUGUUUCUCCCUCUCCUGAUGACAUAAGGAAAGGAUGCAAGCGAUUGCAGGGAAAAAAGUAUUUGUGUUUAAAAGCUAAUAGAUUCUACCAAUUGUUUGGAUUAAAUACAAACAUUAAAGAAGCAAGAAAAAAUUUAGUAUAUAGCUUUGGAGCUUGCAGAUCUGAAAAUGGAGUUUGAAACCAGAAUAUGGAGACGACAGAAAUUAGUGCGGGGGAGAGUGGGUUUGAAUUAUUGAAUAUAGUGGAGUACAUAAUUCACACUUUUCAAAUAGCUUUAAAUUAAAAAUGGAUGUAAAGGAAAAAACCACAAACGUCCCAAGCCUUUUCUGUCAUCUAAUAUCUUCACCAGAUUGUCUGACUAUGGCUACCUUAUUAGGAUUGUCCACGUCAAUGCAAUUAUCAAUUUCUUGGAGUGAAUAUAAUGUAAAAAAUAAUCAAUAUCAAUAUUUUGACAAAUUCGAUCAGUAUUAAACAUCGAGAACCUUCCAUUUCAUCCAUAUAUUAUAUACAAAUUCGAUCAAUAAAAGUAAAUAUUUCAAGUCAAUCCCCCCGUUUGAGCUCCAUUAAUUCUUAUUACAUUAAAUUAUAUUUUUUUCUCUCCUACUUUUAAUUCCACAAUUUUCAAUAAAAUAAUAUUACACGUAAAUCAAAUACUUUUCAACCACUCAUUUUUCAAAAAAAUAUAUUAUUCAUCUUAUUAUAAUAUACAAAUAAUGGGGUCAAACGGCUUCUAAAUCUGAUUUUUGUAUUUUUAUUUUUAUAUUUUUUGUAUUAGAACUACGAACCAAACCAAAAUUGAUCGAUUUCUUGAUUUUAAUACUCGGAAUUCAUUAUAACUUGAGCAGAAUUAGACUAAAUCAAUCGAUCCUAGUUCGGUUUUGAUUUGGUCCAAUAAUUUUAAUAACUUUUGCCUACCCUACUUAUAAUUUAUCAAAAUAAACUCAAAAUUGAAGAAAUGAAAAAGAAAAAAAGGACAAAAUUGAAAGAAAAUGAAAAUUUUAUGCAUAAAAUCGUGACCCUUACGUUGUUAUCAAAAUGGGACAAGAAACACAGCUGUAUGAUGACAUUUGUAGCUUCAUCACCGCUAGGCUACCACCCAAAUCAGCAGUAAAUCCAAAGCAGAACCAAGCGUGUCCUCUCCAUCGCCAAGAAAAAUUGUUAGUACAAUAAAGUGCGAAAUUUCUGGGUUGCAACACUAAUUCACAAAUAUGUAAUUAAUCUCAAUGAAUGUGACCGUAGAAACUGUGAUCUAAAUAUGUCUCGACAAGUGAUCAAUAUGAUGCUCACGAUUCGAAAAUCAACAGUAAUUUGCAAUGUAAUUUCUGAAGGAUCGAGCUCCAUGUACAGAGCUCGGUUCACAGAGGCUGUACAUAUUCCCUCACUGUAGGGGGUCGAGUCCCACAGCAAUUUAAAAAAACAGGUGGAGCCCACGUCCAUCUCCUCUUUCAUUUGACAGGGGUUGUGAACUAGGCUCCUGUAGCUCCAUCUUUUUCUAAUUUCUGAAAGUGACUGUAGUAUUCACUUUUUGAAGGUAUACGAAGUUGGAGUAAUUUGUGGGAAAUAUUUUUGAAAAAAAAAAUGUACACAAUGCUUUAUGUCUUAUAAUAAAAAUUAUGGAAUUCUAAUAACCCAUUAAGCCCCCUUUGGCCUCAAAUUUUUCAAAUUAAAAUGGGUUGAAUAGUAUAUUUUGAAAAAUGAGUGGUUGAAAAAAGAAAAAAAAAAUUCGAUUUACAUGUAAUAUUAUUUUAUGGAAGAUUGUGUGAAUAAAAAUAAAAAAAAUAAAAUUUAAUUUAAUGGGGACAAACGGGAGCUAAAUCUAUUAAAAUUAUGUAACUUUGGAUUUUUUACCAGUAAAGAUUAAAGAAGGGCGAAAAUGUCUUCUUGUUUUGAAAACUUACAUAUCCCCAAAUAUUUUGAGACCGAGACAGCCUGUUGAGAUUAUUGAGGGGAGAGAAAGAGAAGUUGAAUUAUUGAACACAUUGAUUGGAGUACAACUCAUCCGAUUCACUUUUCAAAUAGCUUCAAAUUAAAAAUGGAUGUAAAGAAAAUACAAAGAGUAUGUUUGGGCCCGAUUUUUCCAUCUAAAAAAUUAAUUUUUUGACCAUUAUUUUAUUAUUCCAAUCGUUAUAUUUGAUUUCUUCUCUCACAAGUAAACCCCACUUUUUUCCUAACGGUCAAAAAAUCAAUUCUCAAAAUCACUCUCAAAUAGGCUCAAAAAUUAAUUGUGUACAGAGAAUUUUUUUUUACAACAAUCUCUCAUAAAGGUAUGGGUCCUAUAUAAAUAAAUAAUGUUAAAAAAUUAACCCACCCUCCCAUGUGAGGUGUUGGUAAGGUUUCCUGUACACCUAUCAUCACCCAAGAAAAAAUCACAAACAUCCUUUUCAACCACGCCGUUUUCUGGUAUCGAAAUCUGUUUGUGCCCGUUUUAUUUCAAAAAAUGUAUUAUGAAUUAGUGAUUGUUGUUAAAAUAUGUGGUUAAAAAUGAAGGAAAUUUUGUUUAUUUAUGUUUAAUAUUAUUUUAAUGAAAAAUGAAACUAUAAAAAAAUUAAUGUGGGUGACAAACAAAGACAUAAUAUCUCCACUAGAUUGUCUGACUAUGGCUACCACCCAAAUCAACAAUGAAUCCAAAAUCCAAAUCGGAAUCGAGUGUCUCCUCUCCAUCACCAAGAAAAAUCGUCGGUGCAAUAAAGUGCAAAAUUUUUGGUUUGCAACACUAAUUCACUAAUAUGUAAUUAAUCUCAAUGAAUGUGACCGUAAGAACUUUGGUCUAAAUAUGUCUCGACAAUAGUGAUCAAUUUGAUACUCUCGAUUCGAAAUUCAACAGUAAUUUGCAAUGUAAUUCCUGAAUGAGACUUUUUGAAUGUAUUCGAAGUUGGAGUAAUUUGUGGGAAAUUUUUUUGAAAAGAAAUGUAUAUAAGGGCAUCUCCAUCCACAAUACCAUUGCACCAUUUUGCACCAUUUUUUGGUGCAAAAUUGCUUCAACCCAACACCAAACUUUGCACUAGUGCAAAGUGUAAAAUAUCUAUUUUGCCCUUAUUUAACAUUUUCCAAAUAAAUUUGUUGAGAGUAUUUAUAUAAUUUGUGCUAUAUAUUUUUUAAUACAAUAAAUUAUUGCUUUUUUUUAUUAAUAUUAAUAUUAUUUGGGUUUAAAAUAAAUUUUAAAUAUAAGACAUAAUAAUUAAUUAAUUAAUUAAAAGACGAAAACAAUUUAAAAUACAUCAAACACGAUUAUUUAUUAAAGUUAACACAAAGUUGAGUUGGUUGAAGACGAAAAUUGCCAUUUUCAGGAAUUUCUUGUUCUUCAUAGACAAAUCAAGGAUAAAGAAACUCACAUUGCACUUCGAAAUGCAUUAAUCGAUUAUUUGUGGGAUGAACAUAUGAAUUUUAAUAAUUAAAUUGCAAAAAUUUAACGACUUCGUAAUAUCGUCUAUCCAAAUUUGAAAUGCAUUGUACUAUUUUCUAAUGGCAUUAUUUCAUAUUUUCGUUGUUGUAGUAUUUUUAUUAAUUGUUCUAUGUUUUUAAUAUUUAUUAAUGAAUUUAAUCUUUUUCGUAAUUUAACGUAAUUAUUUAUUUAGUAAUUUAUGUAUUUAUGAAAUAAUUAAAUAAAUAAUAUUUCAAAUAAGUAGAUUAUAAAAAAUAAAAAAAGGGAAGAAAUGGUUAAAUACUGUUCAUUUGGUGUAAUUUUGGUGUAAUGGUUGGAGAUGAAUUUUAGUUUGGUGCAAGAUUUGUUGUAUAAUUUGGUGCAAAAUGGUGCAAAAUUUGGUGCAGGUUUGGAGAUAGUCUAAUGCUUUAUGUCUUAUAAUAAAAUUAUGGAAACUCUAAUAACCCAUUAAAUCUAUAAAAUUAAGGAUAAUUUAAAUUUAUAUAACUUUGGAUUGUUUAAUAUUUCCAGUAAAAAUUAAAGAAGGAUGAAAAUGUCAGUUAUAUAUGUAAAGCACCUUUUUGUUAAACUUAACGUAACCCCAAAAUAUUUACAAAGACAGUUAAAAAUAAUGAGAUUUUAAAAAAUUUAAAUUGAAUCAUAUCUUCCAAUCUAUCCUCCAAAUGGAGAGUCAAUUGUUCCAUAGAUCCAUAUCUUAGAUUACUCACUGAAAUUUAAAAUAUUGAGUUUUUGAUCAUCGAACUUAGGUUCAUAUCUUCGAUUGCUCACUAAGAUUUAAAAUAUCGAGUUUUGGCUGCUAAACUUUGAAAAAUAUUGUACAUCAUUCGCUAGCAUAACUUCCGUCUCAAACAUCUAAUAGAAUUGGUGACGUGACUGACAGAAUGCAUACAUGGUGUUUCAUUACACUGUUAAACUUUAGGAUGGUCAAAUUUUGAUCAUUAAAUUUUGAAAAAUGUCUUCUAUUCUCACUGAACUUUGAAGUGGUCGAAUUUUGGCCACCGAACUUUGAAAAACGUCUUAUAUUACUCACUAUAAAUUUGAAUUUAACCACACAUCUAUACAAUAAAAUAUUUUACAAGUAAAUUCAAAAAAUUUCCUAACUUUUCAACCAUAUAUUUUUCAAAAAAUCACUAUUUAAAAACUCGAUCAUCUCAAAUUUUAGUAGCCAAAAUUUAACUAUCUCAAAGUUCAUUAGCCAAAGUGCGAUCACUUCAAAGUUAAAUGAGUAUGGUUGAGUUUUUGUCACAAAACUUAAAACCGACUUCGAUGGUUCACAAUAAAUUUGGAUUUGUUUAAAAUCCGUUGUUAAAAUUUGGAUUUAAUUUUAUUUAACAACAAACAAAUUCAUUGCGUGUUUCAUUAUAAAAUUCAAAUAUCAUAAUGAAAAUAGCUUCAAAUUCUAAACAAAUAAAUUAAAUUUAAAUUUAAUUACUAUAUAAUUCAGUAAUCAUUCCUAGUGGUACGGACAAUGUUUGCAAAGCUGUGUGAAGGAAGUGACUAUUAAUUGCAAUGAAACACACAAUAUAUUUAUCGUAAAAAUUAAAUUAAAUUCGAAUUUUAAAAAAAAAACGAAUUUUAGCCCAUGUUUAAUGGCCAUUAUUUAAAAAAAAAAGUUCUAAAAAUAGUGAUUUUUUUUGGAGAAUGUUAUUUUUUGAAGAGUGUGUAGUUAAAAAGUUGGAAAAAAUUUGAGUUUACGUGUAAAAUAUUUUAUUGUAUGGAUGUAUGAUUAAAUCUAAAUUUAUAGUGAGUAAUAGAAGAUGUUUUUCGAAGUUUAUUUGCCCAAGUUCAACUUUUUCAAAGUUCAGUGGCCAAAAUUCGACCACUUCAAAGUUCAGUGAGUAAUAGAAGAUAUUUUUAAAAGUUUAGUAGCAAAAAUUUGACCUUAAAGUUUAACAAUGUGACGGGGUGCCACAUAUACAUUCCGCCGGCCACAUCAGCAAUUUUGUUGGAGAUUUGAGAUGGAAGUUAUUUUAGUGGGUAACAGUAUAACAUUUUCCAAAGUUCAUUGGCCAAAUCUUGACAUUUUAAACUUAGUAAGCUAUCGAAAAUAUGGAUCUAAGUUUAGUGUCCAAAACUCGACACCUUAAUGAACAAUCGAAGACAUGGACCUAAGUUCAGUAAUCAAAACUCGACAUUUUAAACUUAAGUGAGCAAUCGAAGACAUGAACCUAAGUUUAGUGAUCAAUGGAACAAUUAACUCCCAAAUGGAUGAUUAUUAUACAUUGUGAACUCGACAAAAAAUUAAAAAAAGGUAACUCUUGUGUCUUGGGGACCAUUUUUGAAUAUAUUGAAUAUAUUGGAGUACAGCUCAUACGAUUCACUUUUCAAAUAGCUUUAAAUUUAACAAUGGAUAUAAAGAAAAAGCCAUAAGAAAAGUUCACAAAAGUCUGAAUAUUUCUUCUACCAUUUCUGUGCUAUUUCAUCACAUCACCUAUGUGAAAUCUUAUUUGUGGAGUCCAAAUUAAAAACAAUACAAAAGUUGAAUAAACAAUGUACUCAAAGUUUUAUAUAUUUUUAUUUGUUUGCUCCAUCGUUUCAUUUUUGACAUAAUUUUUUUUUCGUUAUCCGAUGUCCUCAAAGGAUUGUCCCAAAUCAAUAGUAAAUUCAAAAUCUAAAACAGAAUCGAGCGUGUCAUCUCCAUUGUCAAGAAAAAUCAUCGGUGCAAUAAGUGCAAAUUUUUUUAUUUGCAUCAGAAAACGCCUUCAAUGCUAAUUCACUAAUGUGUAAUGAAUUUCAAUGUCUGUGACUUAGAAAUAUAUCUCAACAAUGGUAACAAUGAUCAAUUUGAUACUCUUGAUUCAAAAUUCAACAGUAAUUUGCAUUUUAAUUUCUGAAUGUGAAUGCAGUAUUCACCUUUUGAAUGUAACUUAACAAUAAUACCCCAGUCUCAAACUUCAACAUUGAUCAUUUGCCACUACGCAUUCGAAAUUUAAAGUCGUAGUACUUCAUAAAAAAUUAUGAACACUCUAAUAACCCAUUAAAUCUAUAAAAAUUAAGGAUCAUUUAUAUGAUUUUAGAUUUUUUAGUAUUCCAAGAAAAAUUAAAGAAAGACGAAAAUGUGGGUUAUAUAUGUAAAGCACAUUUUUUAAACUUAUAUAUCGGCCCCAAAUAUUUUGGGCCCAUGAUGGCCUCUUGAGGUUUACAAGAAAAAAUUAAAUUGAAUCAUAUCUUCCAAUCUAUCCUUGAAAUGGAUAAUUAUUAUACAUUGUGAACUCGAGAAAAAAUUUAACGAUGAAAAUUCUUGUCUUCAAAAGUAUCAUGAUGACAAUUUUUUGACGAAACAACCAAAAAAUUAACUUUUUACUAUAGAAAAGUGCGUUGUCAAAAGUGAAAUUUCUGUACUCACAUUGCUUUUGCAAGUAACAUUGGUAUUCUAAUUUUGCUUUCUAUUUUUACUAAAUUUUAGUAGCUUAUAGCUUUGGAGCUUGUAGAUCUGAAAAGCAAAUCAAUACAAGAGAAGGAAAAAGACUACUAAUUAUUGAAGAGGGAGAGAAAGAAUUUGAGUUAAUCAAUAUAUUGAGUACAGCUCAUAUGAUUCACUUUUCUAAUGCCUUUAAAUUAAACAAUGGAUGAAAAGAGUCCCCAAAAAAUAUAAAAAGGGACUAGAUGUAAACAAAAAUAUUGCACUCCUUAGAUGUUCAAAUUACUUUUUGAGCUUUUGUUGAAGAUGUGGAUGCAAUGACGAUGUUCAAGAUGAUUAUUCAUUUUUCUUUACUUGCUUUAAGAAGAAAACUCACCUUCUUACUCGUUUUCACACACACCGCGUGAAAUUAUUGUUGUGUUAAUGUAUGUUUUCAUUCUUAGGAGAAACUAAAAGAAUUUUUCCCAUGUUAGAUUACUAAUAUAUAUUGAUAUCCUCAAUAGAAGUCUCAUUAUUAUGAUGAUUUUUUUUUCCCAUUAUGAUGACCACUUUUACUUGUCGUAAUUUAAGAAUUAAUCAUUUUGUUUUGAGCAUGUAAAGUACUUAAUUUUUUGUUAAAUCGAUCAUGUGAUAAAAUGAACUAACAUACGUACAUGACAAGUUGAUAAAAUAUACUGAGUGUACAAUGUAGACAAACGUUCAACCAUAAAAUUUAAAAGAAAAUAUUUAGUGCUUAUUUGGAUUUCAUUAUACGUUUUUGAAAUAUAAUGUGAUAGAAAUGCAUGAUGUAUAAGUGAGUAUUUGUGAGUCCUAUGAAAUGUAUGGUUAAACUUGAUUUUGACAUUAUAUUAUAAGCACAUUAGAAUGAAAGGCUAAUUAAGAAAUUAAGCCCAAUAUCAACAAAAGCAGCGUUCAUAUAAUUCAUAUAUUCUAUUUUCGUGUAUCAAUGCAAGGCGGUCGCUCCAUACACAUCAAAGAACACAGCAGUUUUCAAGAGUUGAUCGCGGUACUGUAGUGAACAUAUGUAUCAGAUGUCCAAAUUUUCCGCCAUUGCUAUGUCUGCAUAUAAUCUGAUCGCUCCAUCUUUUGCCACAUUAUUUCCGCAAUUUUACAUUGUAUUAUAACAUGUGUCUCAAAUUUUCUUAUGGUUUUGAUAGAAAGGAUAAAUUGAAUGAGUGACAAUUUACCGUCUAUGUAGCGUACCGCCUCCACUCAAAUAUGUUCAUAGAGAAUUUACCAUAUGAAAAUCCUAUUCUUUGGUGGAAUGUUUAGCGUCCAGAAGCCUUUCCACCAGUUUUUUAUUACCACAUUAUAAGAUGUAGAUGCUUGAUGUUGAGAUUGGAUGCCAAUCUAUAAUCUCUAUCCGGACUGAACCGAGAAUUUCCCACUCCACUCGUAGAGCCAAAUAAUCUGAUCGUCACAGGAGAAAGAACUGAUUGAGAUUGCUAGUAUGGCAUCGCGAUCAUUGGCGAAAAAUGGCUUUCAACUCAGCAAAAAUCCCAAACCCCUGGGGAAAUAAAUAAUUCGCUGACCAUGGUUUAAAGGUAUUAGGACGUAGAAUCCAAGAAAUUGUUAGUUCUGAAGUGUUCAUGUAACUACUUAACUCUGUGAGAUAGUCUGCGUUUUGAUUGUCCCGUCUCCUUACAUGAAUACUUGAUGAUCUCUGUAUCCUUUUAUCAUUUCCUGGUGUUAAUUGUUUAUGUAGAACUAUCCCUAAGAGAUUAUCUUGAAAACUCCCUUGACCUGAGGACCUAAUCCUCACGGAAUCCUAGGAUCUCUUGAUAAUAAAUCUAGAACUAAGAUCAGUAAGUGAUUCACUUUGUGUGAUAUUCUCUCUGUGAUGAUUGACUAUUUUUUGGCAUUUGAUAAAUACUUUUUGUAUUUUAUUGUGUGUUGGGUAUUUGGGAAACUCUUGAAUCUAAUUACUUGAUUCAAGAUAUAAAAAAAAAUUUGGCAACAAGGGAAUAUACAAGUAUAAAGCAAUCAUCCUGUAAAAUGCUAUCACAGAGAGCGAUGAGGAGGCUAACAGUGUCAUCAAUACUUUAAGAAGCAAUGAUCUAGAACUUAGAAAUGAUACAGAAACUAAAACCAAUGCUAAGGGGUAAAUCCAAACAUAGAGAGUCUAGUGGUUAGGAGAGUAAUAAUUCUAAUAGUCAUCACCGUAAAAAGAACUGUAGGAGUUAUUUUGGGUGUAAGUCGAAGGCUAAAAAAAGAAAACGCUGUAAUUUUGGAAAAAGAGACAUUAUAUUAAGGAUUGUUAUAAACCUAACAAUAAUUUCAAUAAAAUGAAAUAGAAAUCGAACCAAGUAAUUUUGCCACAACUAGCAACGAGACUCUUGAUGAUCUCUAUGUAGCCAUCCAAGUGGAAGAGACCGAGCGCCUUCCAUUGAUUAUUUAAAUGAAUGGUUACAAGAAUUAGAUUGCACAUUUCAUAUGACAUCCAGAAAGGACAUUUAUUGUACCUAUAAAGAAAUAAACAGAAUGGUAGUAGUUAUAGGAAAUAAUAUAUCGUGCAGAGUUAUAGGAUUGGAAAUAUAAGGGUAAGAUUUGAAACUAGAGAUGUCUGUGCUAGAAAUUGUAAGGAGCACUCCUUUCCAUCAAAAGAGUUUGGAAUAGUCUUCUCGAAAAUAGAGAGCGUUUCUGCAGAUUCUGCAAUGGCUAACUCUGUUAAGGGUAAUUGUAAUAAUCUGUUGCACCAAAAAUUAGCUGACUUGGGUAAUAAAGGGUUGCAAAUGCUGCAAAACAAGGAGCUUUUGGGAAAAAUCACAUAACACAUCUACCCUUUUGUAAAAAUAAUGUCCUAGGAGAAUAGCAUAGAGUCCAGUUUUCAUAUGGCUUGCAUAGAACUUCCUCAAUAUUAGAAUACUUGAGCUUUGUUUUUUAGGGUCCUUCUAGAACAUCCACACAUUGAAGAAACAUAUGUUUCUUAUCAAUAAUAGAUGAUUCUUUAAGAAAAGUACGGUUUUAUUUGUUAAAACUUUAUCUAUACAUUAGUCCAAUUUUAAACCAUUUUACUUCUUUUUCUUCACUUUUAAAGAAAAGUCUGCUCUUCAAAAAUUGACUUUGUUUGAGGUAUAACCCAUGAUUUAUUUCUAAACUUGCAACAAUAUUGAAAAGGCUUAUGCAUCAUAAACAGAAUUGAUGUGAAUACCCAAUGCAAAUUAGGUACAAAUGCAUAAAAUAAAAUCCCAUGGACAAGGCACAAUGCAUUGCUUUUAUUAAAGUAUAAAAUAGGACGAGCUCGUGGGCAAGGCAUCUUUACAAUUUACCUUCAGUCAUCACAACGCAUCUUUUCUCAAAAUUACAACUAUGAAGGAGUUUUGAAUAUGAUAAUAAAUUAUUUGUUGAGAUAUAGUGGAACUGUUAGAAUCUCAAGAUACGGAAACAACUAGCGUGCAAAAUGUUAUAGAGAAAUGUUUACUACUCAAAUAGAUUAAAAUCAUUCAAAGAUGAAUUCAUAAAUCAUUUUUAAUCUUAAUUUUACAGAAUAAAGUAGAACACAAAUUGAAUUCAACACAGUUCGAAUUCUGCCAGGCACUAAUAGUUUAAACAUGCCAUUUACAAAAUUCACAUACUUUAAAAACUCAUUUUUGCUCAAUGAAUGAUCAACAUGCAACUUAAUCAACUUGCUAAGCUCUCAAAUCUCUUUCAAGGUGAUCUGUAUUAGUCCUACGUGUUUUAAAUUAGUCAAGUAUUGUUAAACUCAAUACCUCAAACAGCAGCUUAUGAAAUACAGUAAUUCCUAGAAGGCAAAAAUAGAGCUCAUCUUAGUUUCGAAACAAGGCAAACAUAAGAUAGAAGUUAUUUGAUGUUUUAUUUAAUAGUACACGCAAUACCUAGGAACGAGAUGAGAACUCUUAUUACACUCAAAAAUGUCUCAGAGGGCUGGCAAAGGUAUCUCCUGCAAGAAAAAAAAAUGUUUACAAUCCAAUUGAAUAAGUGAAAGGCGAAUUUUUAGAGAAUCGUGGUAUACCAACAAAAAAUAUUCUUUGUUUACUAGUUUCUUUCUUCUUCACGUUCACUUACUGCUUUACUUUCCUUUUCAGGUUCACUUUCUGCUUCAUUUUUACUCUCCUGAUCAAAUAUUAUGACUUUAAGUUCUUCAUUUCCCAUUUCUUCUUGUUCUUCUUGAAUUCUCUUAGCAGAUUCUUUGAUAGCUUCCACGCAGUCAUAUACCUCAAUCAUUAGUAAUGUUGGAAUAUCACCUAAACUGGGAGGGAUCAUCUUCAAAUGUUUGCAAUAUCUCAAUCCUAGUCGUUGAAGUCUUGGGAAAUGAUCUCUUGAGGUAUUCCACUCUGCAAGUCUCACAUUAGAGAGUUUCAAGAAUUUAAGUUGUGGAAAUUCACCUUCACUAGUGUCCCAUCGUCGUCCAUCAAAGGAAACAUAACGUAAUUUGAGAACCACAAGGUACUUCAAUUUCCCAAUUAACUCCAUUUGUUCCUGUGCCAUGCGUACACGUAUUAAAGUCAAUUGUUUGAGAUUUAAGGGCAGACUGAUCAAAUUGAACGAUGAAUAUCCCACGAUACUACGUGAUCUGAGCUUCAAUGAUUCGAGCUGAUUCAGGAAGUCGAAAGAAUAACUGUGUGAAGAUUUAACCCUGCCCUUAAGUCUGCGAAGAUUGGAUAAACAUCUCAAAAUUUUCUCAUCCACUUCAUCGAAAAUUUGAAGGAAAGAAAUACUUUGUAGGUUACUUUUUAUUUGGAAGCUCUUAUCCUUAAUUGCUCGAUGACGGAUAGACUCACUGAAGUAUGCACCACCCUCGAAAUGCACUUGUCUCAAACUCAUCAUAUUAAGGAGGACAUCCGGUAUUUCAAUAUUAUGACUUCUCAUGACAAGAAAUUCUAGUUUGUGGAAGCUAUCCAUUGGUGGAAGUGUAGAUGAAAGUGCCAAGUACCUCACGUGAACGAGCUGGUUAAUUCCGACUACAACAAGAUUUAUCCAGGGCCUGCAAAAAUCCAAGACCCUAAGAACUUUGAAGCCGCAUGCAACUAAUGUGGGCAACGUUACAUUACCACAUAAAAGAGAGCGCGUAUGUGGGCCGAAAGGUAGUGAGGCAGUAGGAUCCUCCCCAUAGACGAUACUCAGACAAUGGCGUUUCCGAAACAUCGCCAUUUCACUGUAGUACGGUAGUGAGUUAGCGUGAUCCUCCCCAUAGACGAUACUCAGACAAUGGUGUUUCUGAUACAUC